AGUCGAACGGUGAAGCCAAGCUUGCUUGGUGGAUCAGUGGCGAACGGGUGAGUAACACGUGAGCAACCUGCCCUGGACUCUGGGAUAAGCGCUGGAAACGGUGUCUAAUACUGGAUAUGAGCUCUCAUCGCAUGGUGGGGGUUGGAAAGAUUUUUCGGUCUGGGAUGGGCUCGCGGCCUAUCAGCUUGUUGGUGAGGUAAUGGCUCACCAAGGCGUCGACGGGUAGCCGGCCUGAGAGGGUGACCGGCCACACUGGGACUGAGACACGGCCCAGACUCCUACGGGAGGCAGCAGUGGGGAAUAUUGCACAAUGGGCGGAAGCCUGAUGCAGCAACGCCGCGUGAGGGAUGACGGCCUUCGGGUUGUAAACCUCUUUUAGCAGGGAAGAAGCGAGAGUGACGGUACCUGCAGAAAAAGCGCCGGCUAACUACGUGCCAGCAGCCGCGGUAAUACGUAGGGCGCAAGCGUUAUCCGGAAUUAUUGGGCGUAAAGAGCUCGUAGGCGGUUUGUCGCGUCUGCUGUGAAAUCCCGAGGCUCAACCUCGGGCCUGCAGUGGGUACGGGCAGACUAGAGUGCGGUAGGGGAGAUUGGAAUUCCUGGUGUAGCGGUGGAAUGCGCAGAUAUCAGGAGGAACACCGAUGGCGAAGGCAGAUCUCUGGGCCGUAACUGACGCUGAGGAGCGAAAGGGUGGGGAGCAAACAGGCUUAGAUACCCUGGUAGUCCACCCCGUAAACGUUGGGAACUAGUUG
rnacentral:rRNA from 1 species